AAAAGCAAAUUACGCACUCAAAAUGUUAUAAGGGUAGCUAAAUGGGUUUUGACUCAGUUUUGAGUUUAAGCCCCCCUUCAGCGGGGUUUGAAGGUAAAAAAAAAUACUUCUUUAAUAUUAAAAAGAAAGCAAAUUAUACACUCAAAAUUGUGUAGUCAGUGUUUUGAGUUUUAAUUUAACUCCCCUCCAGUGAAGUUUAAAGCUAAAAAAUACCUUUUCAAUAAAAUAAACAACAACAAAUUGCACACUCUAAAAUCUAUGAGCGUAGCCAAAGGAGUUUUGAGUUUAAACCCCCUUUUCAGAGGGGAUUGAUGCUAAAAAAUAUCUCUUCAAUAUAAAAAAAAAAAGCAAAUUACACUAAAAAUUUUUGAGCGUAGCCAAGCCGAUUGGGGGUUUUGAGUUUAAACCACUCUCCUACAGAUGGCUUUUUUGUUCUUUUCAAGUUUAAAACCCCUCCAGAUGGUUUUGAGUUUAAAAUCCCCUUACAGAGCGUUUUGAGGUGGAAAACCGCUAUCUUCAAUAUUAUUCUAAAGCAAACUAGUUACCAAAUGCUAUGACCGUAGCUAAAUGGGGUUUUGAAUUAAAAAAAACCGAAGAACUAAGUCCUGAGAUUUUUUAGUUUAAAACCCCAACAGAUGAUUUUGAUGAUAAAACUUCCCUUUUCGAUAUAAAAUCUAAAGCAAACUACAGUCACCUAAUUCCAAGAGCGUAUUCAAGAGAGGUUACACAUUUCUACCAGUGGCGGGGCUCAGUGGCGGACUGGGUAUCAAAAUCGGCCCACAAAUGACAUGUCAUAUAUUUUCGGUGGUGGGAUUUUUUUUUACCCCACUCCGCAAUUUAUAUUUAUGUAUGUGUGUAUAUGUAAUUAAUCUUCAUUGCAUUCUGAUCUUUCAUUCUUUCAAACGUUUUUUCUACCCUAGAAUACUCUCUUCCUAUAGCCUAAUUAGUGGAAAGACAGUACACACUGCCAAAGGGCAGCUAUAUAUAGGGUGUCCGGGGGAGCGCUGUGAGCAUUAUUUCAGUUAUUUUAAGCUUUAAAAAUGCAUAUUCUGAGGUAUCUACAGUGUAUCUACAAUUAGCCCGCUACUCUUCCGCUAAAGAAAAAAAAUCAAAAACUAAAUCUGCUAUUCAGUGGAGUUCAGCGACUUGUAGACAAAGGCUUUAGUUUUUGUAUUGGAGGGGGAAGGGAAACCACAAAACCCCUUUUGGCUACACUCAAGAAAUUUGGUGCUGUAGUUUGCCUAAGUUGGCUGCACUGGGGCAAUAAGUAAAGUUUCCCUUUCAAACAAUGAGGUAUGAGGCAAGUGAUGGUUUGAAGACCCUCCCCUGCCGGCUACGCCCAUGUGUUAUAUUAUAGGUGUAAGCCUAAUUCUCUAUAAAAUAUAUAAAGUUUGAUAACGCAUCGAAAACUGGAUGUAUGCAUUCGUAGGACUACAUAAUGUAUUCUAUUUAUACAUGUAUGUAGUCUGAAAACUAUAAACAAUAGGUAGGCCUACAAUAGCAGCCUAAUGAGUUUGAAGCUUUUUAGUAUUACUUAUAGAUUACAGACCUUUCCUUUAAAAAAAUAAGAUUGUUAAGUCUUACGCAUUUCAUUUGUCAAUCUAGUCAUGCAUGUUGAUCUGUGACUUAAAAUAUGCUAAAUCAUUAGUUUUCCUGGCUGACUCAAUCAACCCAUUCCAUUAAAAGAUAAGAGAAAGCAGAACGGUUAGAGAGGCACUUACGUUAAUGUGAAAAGCUCUUGCUUCUUCCUAGUACUUUCUCAAAAAACGCGGUUUGUAUAUGAAUAUACCAUGACCCAUUAUUUAAAAUAUAAAUCGCCUUUCAUUAAAUAUCGGAUGUGACAGCGCUAUAUACAUUAUUGUAAUAAUUUUCAUCAUCAAUGACUUCAUACCAUAGACUAUAUAUUACAUGGACUGCCAACUCUACGCACUAAGCCUAUAUUUUUCAAUAAACAAGUCCCGUUCACGGAGGCGUCCUUGGUUGCGUGGUAAAUUGACUUCCGGUAGAUUUUUUUUUACGUAUAAAGAAACCAUUCCCGAAUAUUUUAGAUCACCACUUUUACAGCAAAUCAUGAAUGGAAACUGAAUUGUUAAAGAAGAUGUGACAGAGGUAAGUGUGCACAAAUCAAUUUCUGACUUAGAUCUAUAACUGUAAAGCUUUAUAGCUGAUUUUCUUAGCCAAUAUAGACUAAUUAGCCAAGUCUGUAUUUCGUGUAUUUUCUUGUUUACGACAUUGAUUGAAUUGAGGUUCUUGUGAGAGCAUAGCCUAUAUAUAUAUAAACCAAAUAGUAAGACUUAUUUAGAAGGAUAACCCGGUAAAUUUAGAUCUAUAUGCUCUUACUAUAAUAGGCUAAAAUGACCUUUCGUUUAUAAGUUGUAAAAAAGUCCUAUAUUAUGUGUAGGCCUAAAGUAAAAGUAAUAAGUCUAGAUGUAAAGUUUUCUCCGAGUUGAAAAAUGUAAGAAAAGUAUGUUUGGCAUUUAGAUGCUGUCGUUGAUAAAAUAGAAAAAGUAGGUGAUGUUUUAUGGCAAGUUAUUAUAACGCAGGACAGGCCACUGUCCUGUUGCCUCAUGUUUCUCACGGCUAUGGCCAAAUUUCGAAUCCUGGUGCCCCCGUGCCUCAUUUUCUGUUUGACUGCCCCAGACUUGCUGAUCUCCGUCUCAACAGGUCAGAACCAAAAAUUCUCGAUCUGUAUGGUGACAUGUAUGCACUACGCAAUACAGCAGGGUUUCUGUCCAGGGCUUUUGCAAGAGAAGAUUUGAGCCUCUCAAGCCCUCACUCAAAUGGAGUUUGAUGAUGUUGACUUUUUAUGCCCUUUUUUCUGUCUUGGUGAGAGUUAUUGUAAGACUGAACUAUUGACCUGCAGCUGUCGAAGUAUUGAUUAGCCUUUGUAAUAAUUACUGCGAAAGGUAGUGAGAGCAGCAUCGUCGUCAAACAUCAGUUCCCUAAUCAGGUUAUGUAGUUUCCUCGUUUUGGUCAAGCCAGUUUAAGAAGCCUUCCAUCCGAUCUACUGUGGAUAUAUAGGGCCUACUCCAUCUUCCAAGGCGCUAUGAGAGUGCAGACGAAACAAUUCCGAAUAGUGUUGAUGGCCAAAACCCAUCCUUGUUUUACCCUGCUCUUGAUAGAUAAUCAUCAUCAUCAUCACUCCUUUGAGUUCCUCAUGGAACAUAGGGCCUCGACAAAAACACGCCACUUUCCACGGUCUCUUGCUAGCUUUUUGAUGGUGUCCCAGCUCUUCCCGGUCUUCUCUGCUUCUUCAAGUACACUGCGUCGCCAUGUUCUUUUUGGUCUUCCUCUGCGUCUUGUUCCCUGGGGGUUCCACUCUAAGGCCUGCCUAGCUCUGUUGCUGGUAUCUUUUCUAAGGGUGUGACCAAUCCAUCUCCACUUCCUCUCUGAGAUCUGCACUUCUAUAUUUUUCUGUCCACUCAUCUCCCACAGUUUGGUGUUUUCUACUUUGUCAUACCAGUGUAUUUUUAGGAUAUUUCUCAGGCAUCUGUUGAUGAAGGUCUGUAUUUUUUUUUUUGAUAGAUAAUACCGGUACCUAAAAGUCUUAGAGGAAGAACUGUCAAACUUAACAGUUCAUAUCAUGUGAAGCUAACAGUAGUUUCAAUAGCUUAUUUGGACAGACAAUUUUCACUAGUAAAAACCACUUCUGCUUAGUGUGAGCAUAUUGCUAAAUGAAGUUCAUAUUUCUAUUACUUUCUACUCAAGUCACCCAAGAGAAAUUUUAUUUAAAGCGAAAACUUUUUAUAAUGCAUUUUUCGUUGUUUUGUUUUUUUUUUACUUAAGGAGCAUACUACUUCCACAAACCUGAUUUGAUUGUCACUAACUUUCAAAUUGAAAGGGAUCUACUACAACUGCUCAUGAAUUUCGAGAUUUUACAGCUAAUAGAGGAACAAAUUUUAUCUGCUUCCACUUAGCCAAACAACAUGGAAAUAUGCUAUUGUAAUGAGUAGAAGAUAUUUGUCAUUUAGAGUAUCAUGCAACAGCUAAUUAUCAGUCCACACAUUUCAAGAUGAGGAAAAGAACAGUAUAAGCUACAUUCAUUGAUGCAUUAUUUAUACAAAAAUGUAUAGUCAACCCAGUCAUCACUCCAUUUUUUUAUGAAGCCAGUUACAGUUACCAUGAAGGGAUGAAAUUUCAGAUAAUAUUCUGUUUAUUUCAUGAAAUGAGAAUAGACCUACAUCAGAAAUUGAAAUGGUCAUCUUCAGUAUUUAAUGUUUCAUCUAAAAAUGAUAAUUAUAUUAAUACAUAUUUGAUGUACAAACAAAUGAAAACCAUUCAAACACUUUUUUUUUGUGAAGUAUAGAUGAUUAAACUUGUAAGUGUCUGAACAAUA